UAAAUACUUUGAAAUGAUCCAGGAUUUCCCAACCACUCUUUCCUAAAUGCUUGAGUACUUAGUAGCCAGCUUCAGUUUUUCUAAUAGUUCCCAUUGGAUCUUUUUGUGUACCAUGGCAGUGAGGAAUUGGGCCAUCUCUCUCCUUGAAGGAAUCCCUGAUUUCUCCAGAAAACUGAUUCAGAGGCAAAUAGUUGCAUUUAGAGGCAUAGAUUCAUACCCAAGAAUUACCAGCAGUUCCUGGCCUUGAUGUUUGCAGUCAGAGAGGUCAACAAGGAUCUGGUUCUCCUGCCCAACAUCAUCCUUGGCUUCCGUAUCUAUCAGAAUAGCCAGAUUCAGAGGGAGUUUUCCUUAUACAGCCUCUUCCUGCUCUCCACACGAGGCUGAAUGGUUCCAGGUUAUGAAUGUGACAGGAUGGACCCCCUGUUCUCUGUCAUUGGGGGUGACAACCCCAAAUCCUCAAGGCAGAUGGCCUCCAUCUUCAGCAUCUUCAGGGUCCCACAGCUCGGAGUUGGCUUUGAGUUCGCUCAGGAAGGCAGAAGAGUUUAUCCUUUCUUCCUUCAGGAUUAAUCCCAAGGAAUUUCCUCAGUACGUAGGUAUAGUCCAGCUGCUCCUGUAUUUCCAGUGGAACUGGGUUGGGCUGGUGGCUCCUGAAAAUGACGAUGGAGAACUUUUCAUCUCAUCCCUGAUGCUAAUGUUUAAGGAGAAGGAGAUCUGCCUGGCCUUCACGCAAAUGAUGAAACUUGAUUUUUAUGCUAUUUCAGAUUCGAAAUUAAACCAUAUUUUGAACACUU